rnacentral:rRNA from 1 species
AGUGAACGCUGGCGGUAGGCCUAACACAUGCAAGUCGAACGGCAGCACAGUAAGAGCUUGCUCUUACGGGUGGCGAGUGGCGGACGGGUGAGGAAUACAUCGGAACCUACUUUUUCGUGGGGGAUAACGUAGGGAAACUUACGCUAAUACCGCAUACGACCUACGGGUGAAAGCAGGGGAUCUUCGGACCUUGCGCGAUUGAAUGAGCCGAUGUCGGAUUAGCUAGUUGGCGGGGUAAAGGCCCACCAAGGCGACGAUCCGUAGCUGGUCUGAGAGGAUGAUCAGCCACACUGGAACUGAGACACGGUCCAGACUCCUACGGGAGGCAGCAGUGGGGAAUAUUGGACAAUGGGCGCAAGCCUGAUCCAGCCAUACCGCGUGGGUGAAGAAGGCCUUCGGGUUGUAAAGCCCUUUUGUUGGGAAAGAAAAGCAGCAGGUUAAUACCCCGCUGUUCUGACGGUACCCAAAGAAUAAGCACCGGCUAACAUCGUG